UGCAGCCAACAUCAACGUUUCCAAAUAGCUCAAUGGGCAAGUGGCAGCUUGAGUGCAAAUCAGAACAGCCUGAGGGCAGCCCUAAUUUAUAGCAAUGUAACCAAGCAAUGGAAAGAGAAAUCCAAGGAAAAUGCUGUUUUGCAGAUACAAAUCAUGAAGUGAAAGAUCAUCCUUUUUCACUCUAUUAACUAGCACAAAUGUCUGAGCCUUCCUUAGAAAAGCAAUGUAUGCAGGAUGCUAACGAAAAGAAACAAUGAAGCGAAUAGAUCAUCUGGAUAGAAAUAGAUGUUUCAGACUCCAAGGACUUGCUGUGGAAAACCUGGCUGUGAACCCAUGGUGGUUGGCCACAGGAGGUCACAGGAAGAAGCCAGCUCAGCUGUUGGUUGCAUUCUAUGAUGUUCCUUGUGAUACAGAAAGAGUAUUUGUCCUGGAUGCACACAUUGGAAAGUAACUUCUAAGUUUGGAUAGCAAACUAGACUAAUCCAAACAAUUGUUCACCCAAACUUUGUUUUCAUCAAAGUGUUAACAAA